CAUCUUUGAGGCCAUGAAGUUGCUGGAUGGUUGCUCAUUGCUUGUGCUGCUUCAAUGCCAGGUCGCACUCAGCAAAGCCCAGGGACAAGAGAAGAGGAAGGACUCAAAGGAGCCAAGGCAGACAGUGAAAAAUCAGCAAGGACAUUGAUGGACAAGAUGCUGAGAAACCCAUGUGGAUGCCUGGAGGGAGAAGAGGAGAGACUGGAAGCUGGGACAGAAAAUGGGUAUCCAAGAAAAGGGCUCUGGAUGUGCAGUUUGACAUAGCAUUCUGCC
rnacentral:lncRNA from 1 species